AUGCUUAUUCAUAUUGCAAUUGGGUCUAUACAUGGCCUUCUUUCCUUUUUCAGUAAGUAUAGAGAAGCUGGAUUUCAAGAAUUGGAAGUUGUAAAAGAAAUGGCACUAGAGAUGGAAAUUCAUCCAGAAUUCUGCACUAAGUGUAAAAUCAAAAGAAAAAGACAUUUCAAUAGGGUGGAUGAUGCAUCUAUUGUUUCACAAUCUGUAGAGGAUUCAUUUAUGGUAAAUUAUUUUCUGCAUGUUGUUGAUCAAGCUAUAGGUUCACUUACCAAAAGAUUUGAGGAAUAUUAGGGGUAUGAAAAAAUGUUGGUUUCUUCUUUUACUUUAGAUAGGCUGCAAUCUUUGGAUGAUAAGAGUAUGCUUGCUUAUGUUAAUCUUGAGGAUGCACUUAAGAGUGGAGAACAUAAAGACAUUGAUGGACCUAAAUUGUUUUGCGAGUUAGUUUUUAUCAAGGGUUCAAUAAGAAAACUAUGGGCCCUAUUGAUAUUCUUGAGUUUUUGA
rnacentral:rRNA from 1 species